AUUUCAGAAACAUCUACAGCUGAUAUUAUUUUGCAAGUGAAAUAAAUCCUGUCCUUGUCCCUGUAGCAUUCUGAUGUUUCCCACACUCUCAGUGAUGCUGAGUUUGGUUCAGCAGGUCUCCCUGGCAGGGCUCAGAAGAUGUUGGACAGAUGAAGUGUCCUCUCUGCAAAGGAAAUGGAGACAACUUACUGACUUCUAUAUGGCAGAAGGAUAUAUGCAUGCAAAAAAGAUACAUCAUACCGUGGGUCUAAAGACCUUUAAACAGACCGAAGAACCCUUCACCAUGUUGUUGGAUGAAAUGUGCAAACACACGGCUCCCCUUUGAGAAGCUGAUUCUAGGUUAAAUUUGGUCAUUUUGUCACGGUUCGCAUCCGGAGUGAGAAAUCACUCUUUCAAGUCCUAGAAUGUCCACAUUUCUUUAAUCAUCCCAGACUUCUCUAUGGACAGAUUUUCAUGAAGACUUUUGCUGCUCUGAGUAACUAGGUUAUGCUGCAGUUACAAAUAAACUCCGGAUUUUCAUUAUCUUCACAAAACAAAAGUUUAUUUCUUCUUGCUUAUUUAACUUGUUUCACCCAGUGACUCAUGGUCUAGGCAUUCUCUGAGUUUUACGCACCCCCUCAACACAUGUCGUCUUCCAAGUACCAGCUUUGAAGAUGCUUCCAA